AUGGAUGGGGUGAUCGACGCGGACUACCGCAACCCGGUGGGCAUCGUGCUCUUCAACCACUCGGUGACGGACUUCACCGUGAAGCCUGGUGACCGCGUCAUACAGAUGAUUGUCCAGGUGAUUGCGACGCCGGAGGUCGCCGAGGUGGAGGACCUCGAAGCCACCGUCUGGAGGUUGCCAAGAUGUGCUCACCGGAAACAGAGGGUGGGGCGGCCGGACUUGAGGAAGACGACGGCCCGAGACAGGUCGGGUCGAAGUCAGUACGGUCGUUUAGAUGCGUCCCUGCACGAACUAGGAGUCAGGGAGAAGGAGAAGACCAUCUCGAAGUUAAUAGAGCAUGAGGAGGGGCUGGAAUCCUACAGAGGCGAUGAAACGCACCGGCGGAAAGCUUCUGGACGGUGGCGGACUCCGGCGAGAUGGCGACGGCUCUCUAGGUCACGGGAGAUCUCAAUUUUGGUGAAAAAUCGGACGAGGAUAGGGUGA
rnacentral:rRNA from 1 species